rnacentral:rRNA from 1 species
AGAGAGAGACAUGCGCGCAUAUCAAUAAGCGGAGGAAAAGAAACUAACAAGGAUUCCCUUAGUAACGGCGAGUGAAGCGGGAAGAGCUCAAAUUUGAAAUCUUCAAGGUUUUACCUUGACGAAUUGUAGUCUAAAGAAGUGUUUUCUGCUGAAGUUUUGGUAAAAGUUCUUUGGAAUAGGACAUCAUAGAGGGUGAGAAUCCCGUAUUUGACCAUUAUUUUCAGCUUUGUGAUACACUUUCAAAGAGUCGGAUUGUUUGGGAAUGCAGUCCAAAAUGGGUGGUAAAUUUCAUCUAAAGCUAAAUAUUGGCGAGAGACCGAUAGCGAACAAGUACCGUGAGGGAAAGAUGAAAAGAACUUUGAAAAGAGAGUUAAACAGUACGUGAAAUUGUCAAAAGGGAAGCGUUUGACACCAGUGUUGUUUUCUCGAAAAUCAAUUAAAAAUGGCUCGAUUUUGUAUUGCUUGAGACCUUAAAAGCUCACUGUACAUUUUUCGUGUCUUUUUUAAUGCACUUUUCGUUUAACAAGUCAACAUCAGUUUCUUUUGUUGUAAAAGGGUCAUUGGAAGGUGGCUUUCUUUUCGGAGAAAGUGUUUAUAGCCUUUGGCCUCUGCAAUCGAAGAGACUGAGGUCUGCAGCGUAGACUCUUCGGGGUUAGAUACAUUUGUGCUAAGUUAUAGCUUUUUAUAGACAACUUGUUGACUAUAAUUAGUCUUGUAGCUUACUCGCUUAUGCUAUUUUACCUACGCUUAGGAUGUUGAAGAUGUAGCACAUCAU